CCCCUGCCAAAGCAGUUCCCUACAGCAGGUCACACAGGUCGGCAUCCAGGCAGGUCUUGAACAUCUCCAGAGAAGGAGACUCCACCACCUCCCUGGGCAGCCUGUUCCAGUGCU